rnacentral:rRNA from 1 species
CAGUAGCCACGGUAAUACGUAGGGUGCAAGCGUUAAUCGGAAUUACUGGGCGUAAAGCGUGCGCAGGCGGUUAUAUAAGUCAGAUGUAAAAUCCCCGGGCUCAACCUGGGAACUGCAUUUGUGACUGUAGAGCUGGAGUGCGGCAGAGGGGGAUGGAAUUCCGCGUGUAGCAGUGAAAUGCGUAGAUAUGCGGAGGAACACCGGUGGCGAAGGCAAUCCCCUGGGCCUGCACUGACGCUCAUGCACGAAAGCGUGGGGAGCGAACAGGAUUAGAUACCCGCGUAGUCCCUGUCUCUUAUAC